AAAGUCGUAACAAGGUUUCCGUAGGUGAACCUGCGGAAGGAUCAUUACAAAUCAUAGAUGUGGAGGGGGAGCGAAAGCUGCUUCUCUCUGCAUAUUUGUUCGGAGCCGCGAGGCUCUGCGACAUUUGCGCUUGUUGUGUUUGUCAGAAUAAUAUUUCCAUAAAUAAUAGACAACUUUUAACAAUGGAUCUCUUGGCUCUU
rnacentral:misc_RNA from 1 species